GUGGUGCUUCUGCAGGAGGUGAGAAACUGUGCUGCGCAGAGGCUCGCGCGCAGCCUGCCUCCUCUCGAGUCGGCUGCAGAUGCCAGCAGCGAUGAGAUGGGCUGGAGAUAGCGGGAUGACGUGCCGGGACUGAGCAUGGCUCUUCUCCUCUCCUGUGCCGCGCUUGUGCUCCUGCUGCUGCUGGCUUUUCCUCAAGAGGCUCUCAGAUGUCGUGAGAGCAAAGUGAUUCUCGUGACCGAGGGGGAGCCCAUCUCGAUUGCGUGUCCUUUCCACGAACACUGUGGCACCGAAGAUACCUUCUAUGAGAUCAUCUGGAGCUAUGAGAAGGACUCGAGACGGAUCCUGCAGUUUAGGACAACACCUCCCAAGAACACCUCCAUUGUGUUACGCAAUGAAGGUCACUUCAGCGGUCAGCUGGAUUUUCGAAGGCGCAUGAGCUUUCUCAACAUCUCAGAAGUGCUUAUAAAUGACACUGGCCGUUAUCUCUGCUACGUGAAGGUAGGGCACAGCAGUCCGUCGACAGAGGUGACUCACCUGCUCAUUAGAGGUGAGUUUGGCUCUCUUUUAACAUUUUGGCUACUUCUCAGAGAGCCUAACAGUCAGAUUCUAAGCCUUUGGGAAGCGUUAGCCCUGUCAGAGUGACUUCGGUGGACAAGGACCUGCUGACCUGCCCUUGUGUUGGGAAAGGGAGGAGAAUUUGCAUUUUAGCACUCAGCUGGAUGAGGUGCAGGCACUGUUAAUGCCUUAUAGAGCCUUGCUUUACGUGUCUGACACUGCAUCUCUGCAAUUCUUACUCAUCUGCAGUGCAGCAUGCAAAAUUGUCUUUGGCACUGAACUGCAUCCCUUUUAUUUUAUUAUGUAACUGUGUUGUAUUAUGUUAUUUCAUAAAUUUUCUUCAGAAUUGUAUUUGCUUUUGAACUUGUGAUUUUUCACUUUCCCUCUGUCCUCCUCUUUUUUUUUCUUUUCUAUAAAUUAAUAUAUAUAUAUAUAUGGUCUGUAUAACAUUUAUUGCCAUUAGCUGUUUGAAUGAGGUAGUCAGAAAGAGAGGAAAAAUACAAUGGUCGCUGGUGGCUGUGUUGUUUACAGCUUAGUAAAGUAAAUGUUCUGCUCUUUAUGCUUUAGCUUUCUCCAAAGCUGAAGUCAGCUUGGAAAGUCUAGCUGUGGGUUUUUCAACCACAGAACCGUGUACCCAUCUUCAGAGCUGUUGCUAAUCCCAGUGUCGUGACAAUUGGUGACUGUGUGGAGAAGCAGUCUGGUGUAUCGGCUGCGCACAAGUGUAAUCCCUGCGGCAGGGGGCUGAGAUUUCCCACAAAGGGGAUCUCUUUCCUUCUGACAAAAGUGUCCUGGGCCCCUUGUUUUGUUUUGUAAGCAGCAGAUAAGCUACGCAAGGGGGCAAAGUGUAGGUCGAAGCCUUCGCUGCAGCCCCCACAGCAAACACGAGUCCCUUGCCAGGCUCUUUGCAGUCCCGAGGCCGGGGUCUGCUCUUCAGCACAUUGCCCUGGCGUUUUGCAGGGAUCCGUUGUUCUUAUGCCAAAGAGGAUGACAGUGGUUCAGAACUAGAAGUGUGGGAAUGAUGUGAAACACAAAGCAGCUGGUUGGGGCAGCAGUGGAGCUGAGCCAGUUUCCAUGUGUGGCACCC
ensembl:lncRNA